UGCAGGGGUUGCUUGCGGCCCAGCUCUAUAAUAGGCACGUCUGAACUGUAUCCCAGAUGCUGUGGGUUUUGCCAGUUUUGGGGAUCAGGAAGGAAUUUUCCCUGGGGCAAGAAUGACGCUGUGCUUGGUGUUUUUUCCCCCUCUUCCCUCCCUCCCCCCACUUUCCUUGCAGUAUCCUGGAAGCCUGGUAUGAGGUUAAUGAGGCAUAAGGACAGAGUUUAAAAGUUGAGAGUUUGGAAUUUCAUUGCAGCUGGCAUCUAAUGCCUGUGAAGGUGCCAGCGCCUAGAGGGGGAAGGUGAGAGGAUUCUGAGUGGUCUGACCCUAGUGGAUAGACUGAAAAGGGCCAGCACAGAAUCGUGGUUAUUUGGCAUCACACUGGAGCCAGAGAACUGCCUGCUGGGGUGGAUAGUGUGCCAAGGUUAAAGUUGCAGCCUUCUACUUUAAAAAAGAGUCGGAAUUGAAAGGGACUUCAGUCCAGAUGGCAUCUUUUCCCACUGCAGGAGAAGAAGAAAGAGGGGAAUUAAUGAUACUG